rnacentral:rRNA from 1 species
GGGAGGCAGCAGUGGGGAAUAUUGCACAAUGGGCGCAAGCCUGAUGCAGCAACGCCGCGUGAGCGAAGAAGGUCUUCGGAUCGUAAAGCUCUUUUCUUAGGGAAGAAAACUGACGGUACCUAAGGAAUAAGCACCGGCUAAAUACGUGCCAGCAGCCGCGGUAAUACGUAUGGUGCAAGCGUUAUCCGGAAUCACUGGGCGUAAAGGGUGCGUAGGCGGUUUUGCAAGUCAGAAGUGAAAGGCUACGGCUCAACCGUAGUAAGCUUUUGAAACUGCAAGACUAGAGUGCAGGAGAGGAAAGUGGAAUUCCUAGUGUAGAGGUGAAAUUCGUAGAUAUUAGGAGGAACACCAGUGGCGAAGGCGACUUUCUGGACUGUAACUGACGCUGAUGCACGAAAGCGUGGGGAGCGAACAGGAUUAGAUACCCUGGUAG